UUCUCCUUACUGUACAUGUGGCUGGCAAAGAAGGGAAGGUGGAGCCGCUAUUUUGAACAUGAUUGGCACAACUGCCAGCAUCUAUGUCUGCAGCUCGAUUUUACAGGCUGCUCUUUGUUGGAAAGGAAAAUGAUUUGGGGCUACUUUUCAUUAAAAGGAAAACCUUACUGAAAACUUCCAUACCCUCACUCUCUGUGGCUCUCCCAGAGGGUGACUAUUUUGCUUGGAGUCAAUUGGACACAGGAUCCCAUCUUGGAUACCACAGUGCCUUAAACGCUGCCUCAGCCAGGUGAUCAAGGUCAGUGUCUACUGUGAUAAGUCAUGUUUUUGCUGUGUACCCUUGAUGUGAUGUGAUAAAAAUGGCACUUUACCCCUCUGGUCUUCCUCUGAAAAAUCCCAUAACAGCAGCCUAAUCAGGAGAAGCACAUCAACAAAACUGAAACUCAGGGACAUUCUACAAAAUGCCAGGCUGUCCCUCCUCAAAAUUGUCAAGUUCACUAAAAACAAGGUGAAUCUAAGAAACCUGUUGCAGCCAAGAGGAGCCCAAGAAGACAUGAGGACUAAAUGUAACAUGGAAUUUGGGAUAGGAUUGUGCAACAGAAAAUGUAUGUGCUAAUGUGAGAUGUUAACAAUUGCAGAAACUCAGUGUUGGGUAUAAGGAAUUCUCUGUACUAUGUUUGAGACUUACCUAUAAACCUAACAUUGCUCUACAACAAAAAAAGUUUACCUAAAAACAACUCUGUGGUGAGCAAACUUAAGCAUAGAAAUGUUAAAUAAAUUGUCCAAAAUAGAGAAGUAAAUAGCAGUGCCAGGUUUCAAGCAUAAGAAUCAUCAACUCUGAACUUUAAACACAGCUCUGUAUGGUACUUUUGUUUAUAUCAAUGCCUAGAUAGACAAACAGAUAGAUAAUUUCCAAGUGCUAGAAACAAAAAAGGAACUAAAACUGAUAAAGAAUAUAAAUGAGGCCAGGCAGGCUGGCUCACACCUGUAAUCCCAGCAUUUUGGGAGGCUGAGGCAGGCAGAUCACUGAAGGUUCAGAGUUCAAGACCAGCCUGGCCAACUGGUGAAACCCUGUCUCUACUAAAUAAAUAAAUAAAUAAAUAAAUAAAUAAAUAAAUAAAUAAAACAGCCAGGUGUGGUGGCAUGUGCCUGUGAAGCAAGAGAUGUGAGAGGAAAAACAAAUUUUCCCUCUUUCUUUUGGUAUAAGCAGCUUCCCCCUUGAAUCCCUCCUCACUCCGUGUGAUUUUACCCUGCUCUGCAAGUUUUAUGAGUUUGUAGAUUCCUGUUUUCUGUAACUAGUGUCUGUAAGUCUCUGUAGCACCAUGGAGGUAAUGAGACAUGCUUGAGCAAGCUUAGAUUGCAGCCAUCUGGGCGCCAUAGUGAAGGACACGAGAUAAGGCUGUGCAGGCAUCUUGAGCAAACCUAGAUAACAGCCACCUGGCCUGCACAGCAAGAGUCAUAUGUAAGCUUGAGUUAGGAACCUGUCACAGUUUGAUUUACUGCCUUUGUUCUGCUUCUGUAAGCUCGCUUUCCACACCCCACAAGUUGUGCGCCACUGGCAAGCCACCCUCCUUCAGCUGCAUGAAUAAAAGUCAAGCCCUGUCUUCGUUUGUUGCUCAGCCUCUGGAUAUUAAUCCACUAAGCCAGUGGCAACCUAAAUAAAAUCCUCCUG